rnacentral:rRNA from 1 species
UACGAAGGGGGCUAGCGUUGUUCGGAAUCACUGGGCGUAAAGGGCGCGUAGGCGGCCUCCGCAAGUCAGUUGUGAAAUCUCCGAGCUUAACUCGGAAAGGUCAACUGAUACUGCGGGGCUAGAGUGCGGAAGGGGCAACUGGAAUUCUUGGUGUAGCGGUGAAAUGCGUAGAUAUCAAGAGGAACACCUGCGGCGAAGGCGGGUUGCUGGGCCGACACUGACGCUGAGGCGCGAAAGCUAGGGGAGCGAACGGG